GCGCGCGCCCGACGUGCAAAACCUGAACAAAUUAACGGGUUGUUUUGUUCGUUCGGCUCGCGUCA
rnacentral:pre_miRNA from 1 species